UAAAUACUCCUGACUGACCGAUAGUGAACCAGUACCGUGAGGGAAAGGCGAAAAGAACCCCGGCGAGGGGAGUGAAAAAGAACCUGAAACCGUGUACGUACAAGCAGUGGGAGCACCUUUAUGGUGUGACUGCGUACCUUUUGUAUAAUGGGUCAGCGACUUAUAUUCUGUAGCAAGGUUAACCGAAUAGGGGAGCCGCAGGGAAACCGAGUCUUAACUGGGCGUCUUAGUUGCAGGGUAUAGACCCGAAACCCGGUGAUCUAGCCAUGGGCAGGUUGAAGGUUGGGUAACACUAACUGGAGGACCGAACCGACUAAUGUUGAAAAAUUAGCGGAUGACUUGUGGCUGGGGGUGAAAGGCCAAUCAAACCGGGAGAUAGCUGGUUCUCCCCGAAAGCU
rnacentral:rRNA from 1 species